GGUUAACCUGCCACAGUGAAUUCGAAAGAAUCUCUCCCGUCUGGGAGGCACUGCGCGAGAUUUACGACAUCUACAAGUUACAAUGAUUCUGGUGAUACUUUCCGAUGAUCAGCAUAAGAUUCACUUCAAUUAGAGACCCAUUAACGCCGCUGGUAUAUGGAUUGGUGAACGCAUUGAAGCCCUUGGGACAUGGCAAAGACUUUGGUUAUAAUAUAUAUGUAUACUUUAUAUGCAUUAUAUAUAUAUAUGUGUAUAUAGGAUCGCAUAGUGAAUAUCAGAAUGGCGGCUAAUAAUAAUUUUGACAUACGCGAAGAUAUAUUCUGAUACGUGCAUAUAAUAAGCCUGAGGCUGCGUUCACAUCAGAGAGACAGCGAUACGACCUUUGCCCUUAUCAGGGAGUCACCCGUUAACCCGACUAGAGACGGAUAGUGCUGAUAUGACAAUGAAUUGAUAUGUUCCUUUUGGAGGCGCCAUCCCCUCAACCAGCGCACCGAAAGCUCCCUUCAGUCUUCAGUUUGCGCACCCUUGCAACCCGCUACGAAGUUCGCUAUAGAUCGACAAUGGAGAGCGGCGCACAUCUGUAGGUACUGGGAAACAAUGAACUGAGAGCUGUAUGCGAUUGUGGACCAGCAGAUAGCAUUGUAUAAUAUACUCUGUUGUUCGACUCCUCCUCCGCCAGCCUCCUUCCUGGAUGGCAUCCCCGUUAGCGCUGCGCACCAGGAGUCGCUCGAUGUCGUGCAAUAUGGAUCUCGCUUUGUUGAAAUUAGCUGCGAUGGUAAUGGAUGAGAUCGCGGCUCUCUUCUGCCAAGCUCAAGGUAGUCAUCCUCUCUAAUUGCCAACGCUAAUCUCUAAGACUUGUCUAUAUCCUGGACAAUGUCCUCCCUGUUGAUUAUUUGGCCAAGAUAUUUUUGGUACCGCUGUACCUGUGCUUAAUUAUUAUUCAUUGUUGUUCAUCGUUGCUGAGUCAAAAUUGAAGAAACUUUUUUUCACCCUGGAACCUUGUAUAGAAUAUUUGCAAACUUUUAUUGUGAAAUAAUAGUUACCCGGAAUGGCGCUGCGCUGAUGUUGGGAAAAAUAUGUAUGUAGUAGGAAUCGACUUUGCCCACACUCUUGUCAGAUAUAGACGAGGAAGCUUUGAAGCUUUCCGCAAGCUGUCGACAAAGGCACGGAAUAAUAAGCUAAUCCAACUCCUCUACAUUUCCUUGUCGACCAAUAGAAACCAUUGGUAUCCGGAUUAAAAAUUGCGAGAAGACACAGUGACGUCACUGAUGAUUCAUUCGGUUGAAAAUUAAAAAAAAAACGCAUAUUUUUACUACAAUAUUAUUUUCUCUUAGAUCAGAACAUGCUUUUGACUAUUCUUCAACUUAAGGAAAAUUUACAUAGUCGAUCAGCUUCAAUGAAAAGAGUGUUACUUGGAAGACAGAAAUAAUAAACAAAUCAGGAUAAGGAAGUCAGCAACGUACAGAAUACAAUAUUAUAUACUUUUCUUAGCUGUACGAGAAGCACAUACAUACCAAGAAAAAGAGAAACCGAUAAAGAGAAAGUAAGAGCGUGUCGUCGUCUUUAACAAGAGGAAGAAGAGAGAAAAAAAUCAAAUAACAAUAACGCCUCAAUCUAUUAAGUGAUUCGACAAGCCACCCUCGCAAUCCACAAAACGCCAAGAAAAACUCGAAUAAUAAUACGAACUCAGGUGCCUCCAGGUUCUCAUCUAUUCGUGUUUAUUGUUCUCGUGCGAAACAUUAAGAUUCUCGAAAGACAGUAGAAAAAGUAGCAAAGAGAAUUCUUUCGAAAAAUAAAUAUUCUAAAAGAACAAUCUUUGCACUCGAUACAAGACUACCAUUAUUGCACAUACUGUAUACGUAACGGUAUAAAGUAAAAAAAAAACAAUUGAGCGUGAUAAAUUUAUUAGUCAAUAAAAAAGUUUACAAAAUUAAUAAAUUUUUAGCAAUAGCCAGUUCGAUCGCUCCAUAUACUGUAUACGUAACGGCAUAAAGUAAAAAAAAUGAUCCAGGGUAAUGAAUUAAUUAGUCAAUUAACAAAUUGACAAAAUUAAUAAAUUUUUAGCAAUAGUCUGUUCGUUCGUAGCAUAAGCUCAAUGCAUUCUUCAAGGUUUUCAUUUCUUUGGAUAAGAGAAUUCUUUUAAGAAACCAAUUAAUUCUACAAGAAAAAUCUUUUCACCUGAUACAGGACUAACAUUAUUUUAUAUACUGUAUACGUAACGGUAUAAAGUAAAAAACUGAUCGGGGGUAAUAAAUGAAUUAGUCAAUAAAUAAAUUGAGAAAAUAAAUUUGCGGCAGUAGCCAGUUUCCUCCCAGUAUAAGCUCAAUGCAUUCUUUAAGGUUCUCAUGCAAUUUUACAGGGAAUAUCUCAUUUCGUAAUGUGCGUUGCUCUGAAGGGGAUGAGUGCGUAGUGUAAUCAUAUGAUGACCGUAUUUGUAUGGCUGGAGGCUGGGGGUAACUUUUUGUAUAAAAACAUAUUUAUCCGCAUGCACGAAGCCCUCGCUCGUACAAUAACGCUAGCCUGGAGAGAUGGGCGAAGAGUGUUCAUACUGUUAACUCCGAGUUCCCAUCUGCAAGGGGAGACUGUAGAGGAACUGUACAAAGUGAACUCAUAAUGUAAUCUCUUAAUGGGGGCACCAAGCGUGGUGGAUAUAGUCCCGGCCAUGGUAUCUUCCUGAAACCCUUUCAUUCCUACCGCUUCUACUCCACUAGGUUGCUCUGCCUGUAUAUAUGGAUCUCCCCCCAGUUACGCCUUUGCUGACACCGAUUGAUAUCGCGAUAAGAAUAUUGCUGGUUACCGGUUGUUCAUUGUAUUUUGACGUGUGUGGAUGGCUUUAUUAUUUUUGAUGGUACCGGUUUACUGCAUUUUGAUUAACGAUUUUAAGAAAGUGCAGAUGGAAUUGCUUUUCUUAUUGUGAUGGCGCCACUUGACAGGAUGUCGAUUUAAAUAUCACCUUGCUGCCGACACUGGGUGUUAAGGCUACUGGCUUAUGAAUUAUCACAAAGAUCCUACGAUUUUAUUACGUAUUGCCGAAGCUGGGGAUAGCAUGUAGAAUAUUACCAUCAUUGUUCGUCUUAAUUAAGUGAAUAAUUAUAUUAAAUAUUGAUUGAUAACGUUCUCGAUGAACCACACGUCAGUGAAUUGUAAAUGAUUGGCAUUCACUGAGAGAAAAUGUAUUUUACCAUCUUUGUCCAUCUCUCGGAGCCCGAG